UACGGGGGGGGCAAGCGUUGUUCGGAAUUACUGGGCGUAAAGGGCUCGUAGGCGGCCAACUAAGUCAGACGUGAAAUCCCUCGGCUUAACCGGGGAACUGCGUCUGAUACUGGAUGGCUUGAGUUUGGGAGAGGGAUGCGGAAUUCCAGGUGUAGCGGUGAAAUGCGUAGAUAUCUGGAGGAAACACGGUGGCGAAGGCGGCAUCCUGGACCAACACUGACGCUGAGUGAGCGAAAGCCAGGGGAGCAAACGGG
rnacentral:rRNA from 1 species